GUUCUCUUCACGUUGCAGAAACAUAUCUCAAAGUAGAUGUUGUCUCAAAGAGAUUUAUGGGAAGAGAAAUUGGGGAAGAGAAACAGGAACUUAAAACAGGAGCCAAGGACCUCAGCAACCAGAACAAAAGACUCACGCCUUAAGGUCUCUUUGUCUUGACUUCAUUCUCUGCUGCAAGAAGCUUCUCAUGGCUGGAGCAUUGCCCCUUAUAGUGGCCCACCUAAGGGGGAAGAAGGGACUUCCCUUCCAGCUCUGGUUGAAGAUAUCUCUGCUGGAAGAUGCACUUUGAAUGGACAACCUUGGAAUAAUGCCAAAGGCCAACGGGCAGGAUAUGAUGAUUGGCCUGAGUUGCCCACACGUGUUCUUCCUCUCGUGGAUCCACCAUACCACGGGAGCUGCGGGGAGACUCCACAGUGGCCAUUUGAGUUGGUGCUCUUGCUGCUCUGCCCUCUUGAGGCCUGGUUCUUCAUCAUUUCCUGGCUUAGGCUCCCUGGUUGGGCACAGAGAGGAAGUCACUGUCUUUGGAUUUUCAGGACACCUGGAGUUUCCUUAGACUCCCUUUAUGCCACCUCACCUCUGCCCACUGCUACCUAGACUUUCCCUCCCAGGUGUUGUCACUGGCUGAACUUAUAGUUUGGAAUAAAACUAAGCAAUUUUAUUAAUUGUCA
rnacentral:lncRNA from 1 species